UGGGGAAUAUUGCACAAUGGGGGGAAACCCCGUGAUGCAGCGACGCCGCGUGAGUGAAGAAGUAUUUCGGUAUGUAAAGCUCUAUCAGCAGGGAAGAAAAUGACGGUACCUGACUAAGAAGCCCCGGCUAACUACGUGCC
rnacentral:rRNA from 1 species